GUAAAAUCACUUUACCCAUGUUUAUAUGUUAAAUUGCACUUGUCUCUCUCUCUAUCUCUGUUAACACAUUUAUAUUUGUUUGAUUAAUUCUUGUGUCUUUCAGCCUGUUUCUGCCUAUCACCAUGAGUGAUUCCUUGAUACUCAGAUUUAUCAUCAAGAUCUCAAUUAUAAGCUCAAGUUUUGAUGACAACUUGGUGAUCUGCAGAAAGCCCCACCAUGUAAGGAAGGCCAAGACCACUCUGGAAUCAGUCAAGGGUGAAAUGGAGUGAGGCAUACCAGGAUAUGCCUGGUUUUACUCUUGGGAAGGAGGUUGAACAGUGCAAUAUUUCUUCUAUAGGAUUGCAGUGACCAGACAUGCUACUGUAACUCUCAUGGUCAUGUGCUGGAAUUAGCAGAUAUUCAACAAUUUGGCCAUCUCGCUGACCUGCUGAUAUCAGAAGACCGCAACAGCUCUGCAAAGCAAGUUGCAAAACAGAAUCCAUGGAACUGGCAGUGACUGGAAACCAAUUGGAAGACUUUGGUCUGUGAUGUAGAGGAGUGGGCAGAGGUAGCAGAAGCAAAGACAACAAAAAGAAGAAGUGAUGUGGAUGUCUUCGUCAUAUUGCAUGACUCUGCUGACCCAGCAACAAAGAGGAGGGUGUUCAACAUCAUCCUGCUAGUCAGGAUUCUUCAGGAGAAGCAGUGGAUUCUUGUGGCAGAGAUGGUCAACCACUAUAAAUACCUUUCAACUCAUCCUGGUUCUUUCAAAGAACUUUCUUGCUUGUUUGCUACUGAAAUGUACUGAUUCGACAUGUGGCCUUAACGAAGAGGGGUUGAAAGGUCUAUGGAUCAUCAUUCUCAGAAAGCAACAAAAUAACUGAGAAAUAAACAACAAUACGAUGGUGCAAUCUAGAGACCUGCAAGGUACCUGCAAGUUUUGGCUGGAGCAGAGAACAUAGAUUUU